ACCCACAUACUCCUGGGUGGAGAGAAGCAAUGCAGAAAAAGUGCCUUACCCAAGGACACAAGUGAAAUGCAGUGAGGGAUUGAAACCCCGAUCUCGAGGUUGGGAGACCAACCGUUCUCGCCAUGCCAAACCACUUCUAUGUCGUCAAACAUCAAAGUUGUGACAGAAAUUAAUUGAAUGCCCAAAUAUCUCAAGAUACACCUCAACUUCUCACCAUGAAUUAUGGAGAAACUGUCUAAAAACUCAUUGGGGUUGCUAUUGUGUGCGAUGAAUAUGUUCUAUUAUUGCUGUCAGCAGAUGUGUUAGUAAAGUGUUCUUGAGAACAAUACCAGACCAUAAAAAGCUAAGUGAUCCUGAAAAGACUUGUAGACCUUGUUGACGGAGUUCGUUUUGUUCGGUAUUGAUUAACGCAGCCAAGGUUUGCAGACUGUUUCAUGAGGCCUACGGUUUGGUCGCUAGGGACUAGUUUGCAAAUUAUGAAAUGUUUAACCGCAGUAUUAGGCCUACUGUCAUACUGUGCAAGAUUCUUCUGCACCACCACCACAUAGCUUAAUGACACCCUCUUAAUGAUAUCAUGUAGGCCUAAUGCUGCACUUUAAUAAUGAUAUCAUUUUAUAGUGCAUUUUACUGAUAGCAACAGAUGCCAUGUAUGUAGGGUCUAUUUGAAUAACAUCUAUAGCGCAUUUAAUAAUACCAUGUACAAAUUAAGGCCUAUUUAAUGAUACCAAGUAUAGUCGGUGCACUUAAUGGCACAGUGAUUAUUGUACCGUACAAUGCACUUACCAUGCAUGGUAUAUUUUAAUGAUACUAUGUAUGGUGAAUUUUAAUGAUACCAUGUAUGGUGAAUUUUAACAAUACCAUGUACGAUUAAUUUUAACAGUACCACGUAUGGUCAAUUUUAACGAUACCAUAUACGGUGAAUUUGAAUCAUGUAUAUUAUACUAUAAUGAUACUAUGUACAUUUUAAUUAAUGAUACUGGCUAGGUCAUUCUUUAUAUAAUACAUUCUAUUAUUAUUAAUAUUUUUAUUUUCCCAAAAUAUUUAUCAUCUUCACAAUUAGUCUUUUGCGAGUUAUGAAAGUAUGCUCUAGUGAAGACCUGUAUACCAUUUUUAUAAACAUAGGUUCUUGCAAAUCCUUGUAUAGGAUAUCAUUGGAAGGAUUGAUUGUCACAACCCUUUGCAAGACAUAAUAGCAAAAUGUAAAGGGAAUAGAAUAUCUUUAAAGGGUUUAUAAGCCAGAAUCUAAUGAUCAAAAGUAAUUUAAUAAUUACAAUUAUAACAACAAUUUAUUUUCUGAUAAAUCAAGUGUACUACUAACUUUGAAAACAUUAGCCUCAGCAGUUCAUAAAUUGUAAAGGUUUGAGAGUCUUUGUAGUUUGUUCUUCACAAAACAGUAUUUAACAAUAACAAUGAGAGAAACAUUCAAAACUAAAAAGUCCAACAUGGUUGUCCAAUUAGUUAAUCUGCCCUAAGGCCCACAUUAAGUGGCUACAAUAGACUACUGUACUGCUAAAGCAACCUUAUUGUAAUUAAGACAAAUAACUUAAUUAUAAUACAGUUUAAUACUUAAUCCAUAAAGAAUGUAAAUACCUUACCAGGUACAGUAUGGAGAUUAAAUAAUAGUAUUUAUAUUAAAAAAAUAUAUUUUUCACAUUAAUUUCAGGCUUUAAAUGAAACAAAAUUGAAAUAAUAUAUGCAUACAUUUGCAAUACCCACAUUUUGCCUUUCAGAUAUUCUAUUUUUUAUACUAAUUUUGCUAUCGAGUCAUUAGGGAGGUCUUGCAAGCCCACGUUAACAAUAACGAAUACUGUUACGUCAUUAAACUUUUAAUCAAACCAUCCCCGAACAUAGCAUAUCUUCACAAUGUAGGCCAUCGCUGUUUUUAAUAUAAAUCACUGAUCAUAUUUAGCUGGUACAGGUAUAGUAAAGAAUGUUUUAGGAAAGAGAUUGACGAUAAUGAAAAUUAUGUAUUUAUAUUCAUUAUCGUUUUUGUAAGCUUGUGAAAUCUCCCUGUUGUCACUAGCUAUAAACCCAACAAAACUGUAACUAGCAAUGCAUACAAGUACAAAGAUUUAAUUACAGUAUCUAUUUUAAAAACUUAUUUAUCACUCUCAUAUGGGGCUUAUAAUGAAUGAAAAUUGACAAAUUAAUAUGUUUAUUUGUCAAACUAAACUUUUGCCCUUUCAAAUAUUGGAUACUUUCAGGAGGAUGUUUUUUCAACAAUCCAUGUCAAUUAUUUUGUCUUCCUAAGAGUACAAGGAGGUAGGCAUCUUCCAUAAUAUCAUUUAGUGUAAUAAAAAUAAUAUUGUAUCUUUAGCUAAUACAGUAUCCCAUGUAUUUGAUCAUCCGUGUAGUGUUGUUAAGUUUGACUGUAUUUCUGGUUUAACACAAAAAAGAAAAAUGUAGAAAUAUUAGUUUUAUAAUUUUCAUUAUUUUUAUCAUUUUUAUCAUUAAUUUUUUUAGGCUAUUUACUUAUUUUAUUUUAACUUCUGAGUAUUAAAAAAAUAAAAAUACAAAAUAAUAGAAGUUGUUCAUCAGGGGCUAUGGAGGAUAAGCAAAAGAAAUAGAACUGUCAUCAAAAUAUUUGCUUAUCCAAUAACGAUUAAUUGUCAUUAGCUAUCAUUAAACAUGUUUCCAUUUCAAA